UUACUUUACUCAGGUAAGAUACUAAGAUCCAAAACAUAGUUUUCCAAGAGUGUGACAACUCCAUUGUCCUCUGUAUGUGUUGCUCUUUUGAAAUUUCCCAAGUGUGGGGAAACUCAUUGAAUAGCUCUUUGGUGGGUGGCUGUAUUCGCACUGUCCUUUG